UAGGUGUAGUGAUUAUGAGAAAUUCAUUGUUCUGAAUGCUAUCACCAUGGCAUGACAGACCGAUUUCACACCCAUAGAAUAUGAGCACC
rnacentral:snoRNA from 1 species